UGCAGCAUCCCAGCAGCCUUCACCCAGCGGAUGGGAUGAACAGAGAGAAAGAGACAGACACAGAGGAGACGGAGAACAAGGCGUGUCACCGUACCAACAGAGAGGAGCCAGAGUUCUGCCCAAAACCUCUACAUCUGCCUGUGAAGAAGCGUCAGAAGCGUGCGGAGUCAGACGUGGUGGAGGCUGUCUGGACACAGCUGUGUUUGCAUGCAGUGGCUGCUGGUUUGAUGCAGAAUGCCUCUAGUUCAGUGUCAGCCGGCAGGCAGAAGAGGGCGCAUCAGGACACAUCUUCAUCUGCUGCUCCUCUUCCUCAUUGUGCUACAAACACAUGGAUACAUUAUAAUCCCUCCCGACUACACAUAUAACAACCUAAAACAAGCUCCAAAGAUCACAGCUCAGCCCGUGUCUCACACCGCUUUCUCUCUGGAUGAUGUCAAUCUGGCCUGUGAAGCCAGUGGAGACCCAGCGCCCAGUUUCCGCUGGGUCAAAGAUGGCAACGAGUUUAGGAGGGAACUGUUUGAGUCUGGGACCCUGACAGCAGAUGAAAAGGAGGAGCUCCGAUCCUAUCAGGGCUCGUACCGCUGCUAUGUGGCCAACGAGCUGGGCACGGCCGUCUCAGACCUGGCACGCCUGAUCACAGAGUCCAUCCCAACCUUGGCCAAAGAGAAGAGGCAGAAAAGAAGAUCGUUUGAGGAGGGAGAAAGCGCAGUCCUCUACUGUAACCCUCCCAAGAGCUCUGUCACUCCCAAAAUACACUGGAUGGACAUGCAGCUGCGCCACAUCCAUCUGAAUGAGCGGGUGACCACCAGUCUUGAUGGAAAUCUUUACUUUGCCAACUUACUAGUCAAUGACAGCAGAGAAGACUUCACCUGCAAUGCCCACUACAUCAGCGCCAGCGUCAUCCUCCCUAAAGAGCCCAUCUCCAUCAGCGUCGCGCCCUCAAAUUCUGUGGUGAAGAACCGGCGGCCCCAGCUGCAGAAGCCAGCGGGCUCCCACAGCUCUUACCUGGUGCUCAGGGGCCAAACACUGACUCUAGAGUGCAUCCCAGAAGGCCUCCCCACUCCAGAGGUGCAGUGGGAACGGAUGGACAGCCCUCUGUCUCCGGCGCGGGCCCGGACGCUGAACUUUGGCCGCUGGCUCCGGAUCCAGAGCGUGUCGGAGGCGGAUGAUGGCGAGUACACAUGCACCGCCCAAAACAGCCAGGGCUCCGUUAAACACCACUACGCCGUCACAGUAGAGGCUGCUCCGUACUGGACCAGGCGUCCUGAGGACCACCUGUACGCCCCAGGAGAGACCGUGAGGCUGGACUGUCAGGCCGAGGGGAUUCCCACCCCAAACAUCACCUGGAGCAUCAACGGCGUUCCCAUCGCAGGGACGGACUCGGACCCGAGACGGCUUGUGAGUUCAGGGACACUGAUCCUGACUGAUGUUCAGUACAGUGAUACGGCGGUCUAUCAGUGCGAGGCCACCAAUAAACACGGCAAUAUCCUGGUCAACACACACGUCCAUGUAGUUGAGCUGCCUCCUCAGAUCCUGACGGCAGACGAGCUCGUGUACAAGGCCACAGAGGGACAAACCGUUCUGCUGCUGUGCCGCACGUUUGGCUCCCCACAACCCAAAGUCGACUGGGAGAUUUUCGGCUCUGGUCCAGCUCUGGCCAAUGCUAAAAUGUCUCAGACGAGCGAUGGAAAUCUUCAGAUCAGUGACGUGAGUGAAGAAGACACCAACACUUACACGUGCUCAGUGAGACACAGCAACAGGAGCAUCAGUGCUGAGCUGGAGGUCCUGAACAGAACUAAGAUUGUGGACCCUCCUCAAGAUCUGCAGGUUUUACGUGGAGAUGAUGCUGUUUUGCAAUGCAAAUAUACAGUGGACCACAAGUUAAAACAACCCACAAUUCAGUGGAAGAAGGACAAACACAAGAUCACAUCAUCUGCUAAUGAUGACAAAUACACUGAUUACUCCGACGGCUCUCUGAAGAUCACCGACGUUCAGAUGGAGGACUCGGGAAUCUACAGCUGUGAGAUCAGCACUAAACUGGACUCGGUCAGUGCCACCGGCUCCAUCACCGUACAGGAUAAGCCCGGUUCUCCUCACUCUCUGGAGUUGUCUGAAAAGAAGGAGCGUAGAGUAACGCUGUCCUGGAUGCCAGGCUCUGAAAACAACAGUCCUGUAUCUGAGUAUGUUAUUGAGAGGAAAGAGGAGCAGAAUCCAGAAAAGGGCCACUGGGAGGAGUACAGAAGAGUUCCUCAAGACAUCAGACACCUGGAGAUCCACCUGCAGCCGUACAGCACGUAUCACUUCCGGGUCAGAGCAGUCAAUGGCAUAGGAACCAGCGAGCCCAGUCCUCCCUCAGAUUCAUACAACACGCCAGCAGCCAAGCCUGACAUGAAUCCAGAGAAUGUGACGACGGUGUCUGCUGAUCCAAACACUAUGGUCAUCACAUGGCAGGAACUAGAGCGACAACAAUUUAACGGACCAGGUUUUAAGUACAAGAUCUACUGGCGUCAAGCUUCAGGCAGGAGUUCACAUUGGGAUGAAAGCAGCGCCUCAAAUCCUCCUUUCAUCGUGAACGUCAACGGGACCUUCAUCCCCUUCGAGAUUAAAGUUCAGGCAGUCAAUGAGCUUGGAACAGGACCAGAACCAGAUGCUGAGAUCGGCUACUCGGGGGAAGACUUACCUCUGAAAGCUCCUUCAGAGGUGGCAGUGACCGAGCUGAACAAAACCUCUGUCCUGGUAAGAUGGAGUCCAGUCGACAAGGAAUCUGUCCGCGGACACUUACUCGGCUACAAGAUCCAUCUGAGAAAGAAAAGCCCCAGAACUCACAGCCGAAGAGGCCUGCCGAUGCAAGAACCAGCGGCGGACAGGAACAGAAUCUUUGUGGUUCAUGGAAAUAAGGUGGAGACGGUCGUGAGCGACUUGCAGUUUUACUCGAACUAUACUCUGACAGUUGCACCUUUCAACAGCAAAGGUGAAGGUCCGCAUUCGAAGGCGUAUCACUUUAGCACUCCAGAGGGCGCUCCUGGACCAGUUUCAUUCUUGACCUUCGAGAGCCCGUCUGAGACGGAGAUCACCCUGCACUGGGAAGCUCCAGACAAACCCAACGGAGUGCUCACAGGCUACCUGCUACAGUACUAUGAACCUGUGCCUGCAAUUUCGAGCGCACAACUGGUGGAAUCCAUCAACCUGCCCCUUGUUACUGAGUUCACACUGAAGGGUCUGAAUCCUCAGAUCCAAUACCACUUCAAACUCAGAGCACUCACUGCUGCUGGUGAUGGGGAGCCUGUAGAAAUGGAGGGCACCACCUUGUUGGAUGGAGAACCACCAUCUGCGAUCAACAUUGCAGCUGGACAAACAUCGGUUAACGUCAGUUGGGUGCCAGGAGAAAGACAGCGUAACAUUGCCUUUAGCUUCCGUUACCUGAAAAAAAGUGUGGGUGGUGAAUGGGAAGAGUCGGAGAAGGUCAACUCCUCACAGGCAUUCUAUCAGCUGCAGGGUCUGAUGCCGGGCGUUCAGUACCACCUACGGAUCCUGCCCGGAAACAACUCCUGGGAAUUCAAAACGGCUGGACCAGAGCUGCAUGAGUUGCCCAGCAGCUUUGCGACUCAGGGCUGGUUCAUCGGACUCAUCAGUGCCAUGAUUCUGCUGCUGCUAGUGCUGCUCAUUCUGUGCUACAUCAAGAAGAGCAAGGGAGGGAAGUAUUCAGUGAAAGCUAAAGAGGAGGAUCAGGUCAAUGGGGCCCGAACAAUGAAAGAUGGAGAGUUUGGAGAGUACAAAUCUCUGGAGAGUGAUAUGGAGAAGUGCUCCAUCAGUCAGCGGUCCGUCUGCGAGAGCAAGCGCAGCAGCAACGACAGUCUAGCCGACUAUGGAGACAGUGUCGACAUCCAGUUCAACGAGGACGGCUCCUUCAUCGGCCAGUACAGCGGACGCAGAGAUGCAAACGGUCAAGGCACUCACGCCAGCUCGGGCGCCACGUCUCCCAUCAAUCCCAACAUGCCUCCACCCAGCAUCAGCUUUCCCACGUCUGUGACAGGAUUCCUGGGGCCAAACUAACACUCCACCGCCACACGCACACAUCCUUGACCAUUUGAAUGAGGGCCCUGAUGGUAUUAGACAGGAUAUUGAUUUGAGGACAGACAGUCGUUACUAUAUGACGCAAGAAACGACAUCCGCAAACACCGCCGGCUUCACUCUCGCAUAAUAAUGACACAUGUGCAUCCGACAGACACGAAUAAUGUGCAGGACAGUUGCUUCUAACAUUCCAUCCAAGCACUGAAAACUGUUUACAAUGCUCACCUCGCUGCUUCAAGUGAUGUUUGGACUGUAGAUUCUCUCUCACUGGAAGUUUUUCCAGUUCUCUCGCUGAAAUUCUGCAGAAGGUGGUGUGAUAAACAACAGACACAAGCGGGGGAAAGGCACGAAUACAACUGUUUGAGAGUGUAGGGCAGACUUGGGCCUUGUUCACGUGGCACACAAAUCGGAUUUGUUUUGAAGAUGGGAUCUGUAGGAGGGACCGCCUGCACCGAUUUUAACAGUCAGUAGAACUGAGGCUGAUUCUUUAGACGGUGUAGUCGGUAUUUCAGUCAGUACAGGCUAAGAUGCAUUUCCAGAUUUUGUUUUUUUAACUGUUCAGACUAAACCAAAACAAAGCGAUUUUGCUGCCUCUCUGAACAAUGCCUUAUGUCGAAUACAUCAGCUGAAAUCACUGCAGUCAAUAGAAGUCAGGUCUUAAAGGCUGAAAGCGAAAAUCUUUUUCUAUUCGUUAUGGGUUGAAGGCAUUCUUUUACCAUUCAUGAUUACAAAACAUUACAAUUAUUUGAAGUAUUGUUUUUGUAUUAUUCUUUUACUUAUGUUCUUACUUUUUAUAUAUAUAUAUAUAUAUAUAUAUAUAUAUAUAUAUAUAUAUAUAUGAAAUACAUGUAUAUACAUCAUAUAUUUUUUUUUUCAUAAAGGCUAAUAUAUUUGGUUUAUAAUGUCAUAUUUUUUAUUUAUUUUGUAUUAUUUUAUUUUUUGCUUGUAAUGUAUUUAUCUUUAUGAAUUCAUGUUUUAUAAAACAGUAUGUAUGAACAUUAAUAAUCUGCCAUGUGUGUCUCUCUGUCUUAAUAAUCAAAGUUCAGGGCUUUUAACCGUGUAUCGUUUGUAUUGUUGCCUAAGUGUGUUACCCAAGUGAGUUUUUAAAAUAAUGGUGUUUUUGAUGCAAUUUAUUACGUUAAAUCCCUUUGAAGUACAUACAGCCGCUGCACUAAAGCCAAAUUUUGUGAUCUUGACACUAACAUAUAUUUUUAAAAGAAAAAAGAAAAAAACAGCAACAAAAACUGAUUUCCUGCAGCAAAUAACAGCAUGAGAUGUAGUGCUAGGCUAGUUGAUGUAGUGUGAGGCUGUGCCUGUUGUUCUGCUGUAACGCUGAGGCCAAACCCCGACAACUGCUGUGCUCCAGUGUCUGUGUCAUCCGUCCGUCAGCUUGCAAAUAUUAACACUCAAACAUUGCUAAUUAUGUACAGUGAAUUAUUACUAACAAUAACAGUCAUACAGUAUAAUCUAUCACACAUUUGUCUCAUGUCAUCAAUUGUUCUUUCUGGUGCGGGCAUUCGUUGAAUUGAUGUAGUUGGGCUGUUCCUGUCUGAAGGAAAUGGCUUUGAACAAUAUUACGAGCCAAUGGCAGCAAAUAGACACAGACUACAAAAGAACAAACUGAUGGUUCAUAUUCUGAAUUGAUGAUGUCAUGAUGGGCCUGCAGUUUGAUGACCUCAUCACCUCUCAACCAACCCGUUUGAAGACUGUAGAGCAAGACAUUUGUGACGUUUUAUAAUAGAAUGAGUAGAAAGAUCUUCAGACAGUAAUUAUGGCUUUGAGUUUACUCAUUUGUCUUCUCUCGCAUACGCCACAGCAUCCUGAAUUGUACUGAUCAAAGUCAUGCUGCAAACGCCUGGUUAAAAUCAAAUUAAAUACUAGGAAUAUUUACAACAAAUGUAUGUAAGAGUAUGUAGCCUGUGUACGCAUUAAAAUCUAUUUUCCUACAAAAAGGACUUGAGUUAAACGGGUGGAAUUGCAGUGCAUGGCUUUUUACAAUGAGCUGUGAAAGACCUAAAGCAUGCCACCAUCCCUCCCGGCUCUGUGGGAUAUCUCCAUAUUGUAUGUAAGCUUCCUCUUACCUCUGCUUUCUAUUUGUAAAUCGAAACACUAAAAUGAGAAUAAAAAUGUAGUCAGAGUGGUAUUUCAAAGCA